CUAGUGUGACAUUCUUGCGUAAAAAUUUCAACAUAGAGACAACCAAAUUGAAAAUAAAUUCGUAUAAAUUCAGACAAAGUAUAAUUGUUUGUGUUUUUAUUCGAAAGUAAACACUUAAAGAGACCGUUUCCAGCAAAAAAGUAAAAAUGAACCAAAAGUCACAUGGGACAGUUUUGCUUGGAACGGCAGUUCAGUGGUUGUCAAAAUUUAAAAUUUUGAACUAUACUUUUUUCCCUUUAUGAUUUUUCGACCUUCCAAAUUUGACAUUUUGGUACCAAAUAUUUUGUUUAAUUAAAUAACAAAUUUCAAAAUCUAUAAAAAUCGUGUGAUGGGAAAUCCAGUGUAAAAUGACACUAUAUGUUUUAUUUAACAAGUCUGUCGCUUUUUUAUAAGUUAUCAUAUAGGUUUUUGCCAAAAUAUUUCAAGAUUUAGAUAUGGGAGACUGGGAUACAUGGGCCACUUUUUUUCCAUUUCUCCAUAACUUUCAUAUUAAAAAAGACGAAAUGAAAAAGAUAAAUGGUAUGGUUUUCUACAUUUCUUAUCAUCAUGCAUUUUUUUAAUUCUUUUACUAAAUUAUUUUCUCUGAGCUCUGAGCUCUCGUAGGCCACCAAAUACAAAUAGAUCAUAUUACAUGCAAUGUAUAUAAGUUGAAUCAAAACUGUUAUUUCAUAAAUCAUUUAGUUAUUUUGGAGCAAUUUCAGGUGAAGAUGUGAAAAAAAUAGUUGUUUUUGAUCGAAUAGAUUCUUAAACAAGGCUUGCGAACGUUUUAGCAUGUUCUUUAUAUAAUAUUUAUGUUCGUCUCUAUCGCAUAGAAUAAAAUUUAAAGAAUAUUUUCCAUAACUUUUCAUUUUGUGUCAGAUUACUUUACAGAUAAAGCAUGGAUCACUACAAAUCUGGACGCGUGAAAACGGGUCUAUCUCGGAGCUUUGUAAACGAAAAAAAAAUUUUAUAAUCAAAAUGUAGGGUUUUUAUUGCACUUCAAAGGAAAAAUAAGAAAAAAAAAUAUUUCGAUGUUUUUUUGAUAAAAUUUCGAACUUUUCGUCUAGAACCACUCAUCAAAGUUUGGACACCCUAUUCACUGACCUCAGCGGCCAUUUUGUUCCACAAUCUCUUCAUCUCUGUUGCUUCCCGAGUCGUCCUACCAUUCUUCUUCAUCUUCUGUCUGACAAUUGCCCAACAUUUUCGAUACACGGAAAAACUCAGCAACUCAUAAAAUGUGUUGUAAUUACACCUUGGUUGUAACUAACCCUCUGAUGCUCAAAAUAUGUAUAACCGAAAAUCAAAUUUGGGUUGCCAAAAUACAGAAUUGACUAAAUAGUUGACAUCGUUUAAACAUUUCUGUAUAAAAAGUUGUUGUUGUUGGAAUGUUAGUCAAAAGGGAUGCCAGUUAACCCUUUAAUGCAUAGUGUUGUUUUAAAACAACACUAAUAAAAAUCAAAAUAUCCCGAAAACGCGUGGAUAUUUUUGAGUAAUGUAUUCACUAAAAAUAUUCUAGAGAUUAAAAGAAAUCAGCCCAUGGUAUUUUUUUUACAAUAUUUUAACUUAUUUGUGAGAUAUUGAACAAAGUAUGCAGAAAAAUUGCGAAAAUUAUAUUUAUUUCUAUUUUUGAAAAAAGUAGUUUUUGGAAAAUCGCUGUUAUCUCUUCAGAUAUGCAAAUUCUAACAUUUUUUUUAAUCUCAAUCAAUCACAAACAUCUUCCUGCACCCAAUCAACAAGGUUUUGAAGAAAUUAGCAAAACCGUAUUGAAAUGAACUAAGAAUUUAAAAAAUUAUUUUUAAACUUUUGGGGGCCAUAACUUUUAUAAUACUCAAAAUAACGAUUUCAAACCUGUUAAGUUUUGUUAUUCGAAUUAAAAUGUUAUUAUUUCACUGAAUCAAUAACUGCAAUUCUCAUUUAAAAAAAAGUCAUGCAUUAAAGGGUUAAAGCGUGACAAGAACAAAUUGCCGGUCUGGUGGUCGACGGAGGGCAUCUAUUUCAGUGUACAUCCAUCCGGAUGUGGACCUCCAGGUGCUGCUCCCCAAUGGGAGGAGCCAGUGGAGCAGCUCCUGGUGCCAUUCCUACGAUACGAUGGUGGUUCUGUCGGUGGUCAGCGGAUGGACGGAGCAUAAGGCUCCGGACAAACGAACCUAGCAUUGUCACCAAGCAAGGCUCAUGGGAAAAGCUUGACGACCGUUCACCAGCAGAAAAAUUGCAGUCUCCGUGUCUCUGGACGAAGUACCGGCCCGAUCAAGGUGAUACCAACCUCAAACGGUUUAGAUUACCAAGUAUGAAGGAGCAAGAGUGGAAGCUGGAAAGGAAGUAAAAAAUAUAUCCGGCAAUCUUCCUUUUAUUUUUAUUCGGAAUUGGACUUUGGUCUCUUAUGCUCAGUACCAAAGAAGCCACGGUAGAACAAAACGGCACUAUCGAGUUCUAAGGAUUCUAGACAGCGGUCCCCAAUUACCCCCCACGGCAUACCUCCAAGGCCAGCUGAAGUACCACAUCACAAGCAGUCUCAUUGAAAUCUGAGGAAGCUGAAAAACAUCAAUAAUGCCACCAUGAUAUCAGCGGGAUCUGAGUCAAUCACCGCCGAAUUGAUUUAAAUUUAGAUAUUUUUAUAUGUAUAUGU